rnacentral:rRNA from 1 species
UACGUAGGGGCAAGCGUUAUCCGGAUUUACUGGGUGUAAAGGGAGCGCAGACGGAACUGCAAGUCUGAUGUGAAAGCCCGGGGCUCAACCGCGGGACUGCAUCGGAUACUGUAGAUCUGGAGUGCCGGAGGGGCAAGCGGAAUUCCUGGUGUAGCGGUGAAAUGCGUAGAUAUCAGGAGGAACGCCGGCGGCGAAGGCGGCUUGCUGGACGGCAACUGACGUUGAGGCUCGAAAGCGUGGGGAGCAAACAGGAUUAGAUACCCU